rnacentral:lncRNA from 1 species
GCCCAGGUGUGUGUGCCAUGCCCAGGUGUGUGCCAUGCCCAGGUGUGUAUGCCAUACCCAGGUGUGUGUGCCAUGCCCAGGUGUGUGUGCCGUGCCCAGGUGUGGGCCAUGCCCAGGUGUGGACCAUGCCCAGGUGUGUGUGCCAUGCCCAGGUGUGGGCCAUGCCCAGGUGUGGGCCAUGCCCAGGUGUGUGUGCCAUGCCCAGGUGUGUGUGCCGUGCCCAGGUGUGUGUGCCGUGCCCAGGUGUGUGUGCCAUGCCCAGGUGUGUGCCGUGCCCAGGUGUGUGUGCCGUGCCCCGUGCCCAGCCGCUCUCCCGGGCCCUGUCCCCGCUGUCCCUCUGUGCGCGGGGCUCCGGCACCUCCCUGUGGCAGAGCCGGGAACGGCCCCGAGCCGGCGACACCGCGGGGACACCGCGGGGACAACGCGGGGAUGGGGACAGCGAGGGGAUUGUCACUGUGGCAGGGACAGCACGGGGACAGGGACAGUGAGGGACUGUCACCAUGCUGGGGACACCGCAGGGAUGGGGACAGACCUGGGAACACCGUGGGGAUUGUCACUGUGCUGGGGACACUGCAAGGACAGUGACAGCGUGGGGACACUGCUGUGGGGACAUCCCUUAUCCCAGGGGACAUCCCGCCAGCCCCUCCCUGCUCCCCUGCCCUGUCAGGGCUUUGCUUGUUCCCAAAUUCCUGCGCUGGCCUGGGGUCCCUGUGAGGGACUGGGGGUCCCUGGUGAUGGAAAGGGGGUCCCAGGGAGGGAC